AUUGAACGCUGGCGGCAUGCCUUACACAUGCAAGUCGAACGGCAGCGGACCUUCGGGUGCCGGCGAGUGGCGAACGGGUGAGUAAUAUAUCGGAACGUACCUUUCAGUGGGGGAUAACGUAGCGAAAGUUACGCUAAUACCGCAUAUUCUGUGAGCAGGAAAGCAGGGGAUCGCAAGACCUUGCGCUGAUUGAGCGGCCGAUAUCAGAUUAGCUAGUUGGUGAGGUAAAGGCUCACCAAGGCGACGAUCCUUAGCUGGUCUGAGAGGAUGAUCAGCCACACUGGAACUGAGACACGGUCCAGACUCCUACGGGAGGCAGCAGUGGGGAAUAUUGCGCAAUGGGCGCAAGCCUGAUCCAGCCAUGCCGCGUGAGUGAAGAAGGCCUCGGUUGUAAG
rnacentral:rRNA from 1 species